rnacentral:rRNA from 1 species
AACGUAGGUGGCGAGCGUUAUCCGGAUUUCCUGGGCGUAAAGGGUGUGCAGGCGGGCUGUUAAGUGGUGUAUGAAAUAUCCCGGCUCAACCGGGAGAGGUUAUGCCAGACUGGCAGUCUAGAGAGCGAGAGAGGGACGUGGAAUUCCGGGUGUAGUGGUGAAAUGCGUAGAGAUCCGGAGGAACCCCAGAGGCGAAGGCGGCGUCCUGGCUCGCAUCUGACGCUCAGACACGACAGCAUGGGGAGCGAACGGG